GAAAAAGUGUACGCCCACAAUAAUCACUCUCUUUUUCCUUGCCUCUACUUAAGAUGCAAACCGCCUUAAUUAAUAAUAAUCUUUUCGAUCAUCUCUCUUUCGUUCUGUUUCAUUUCAUUCAUUGAAGUAUAGCUUUCGCCUACCCAUUUCAUAUUAUCUUCAUCAGAUUCACAUCCUUGUGUUUCAUCCAUCACAGCCAUGGCAGAGAAGAAAGUUACAGUAAUGGUGAUUAAGGUCGAUCUUGGCUGCGAGAAGUGCUUCAAGAAAAUCAAGAAAGUGCUCUGUCAAAUUCCUCGUGAGUCUCUAUUCAAUGAUUUAUCCAUUUACUAGUUUUAUUAAUUCUUCCAUUUGCUUGAAGGAAAGUGACUGAGUUAUUUUGUGACUUUAUUGGCCUUGUGUACAAGAGAAAUUCAAAAUCAGAUAUAUGAUGAGAAGGCAAACACAAUUACAAUCACUGUGGUGUGCUGCAGCCCAGAAAAGAUCACUAAAAAGAUAUGCUGCCAGGGUGGUGAUUCAAUCAAGGGUAUUGAGAUCAAACUUCCAGAGAAAACUAAAACAAAAAAGAAACAAGAGGAGUCUGGGGAGACCGAGAAGUUGGAGAAGGCCAUAGAACCAGAAAAGACUAAACCUCCAACAUCAGCACCACUGCUAGUGAGGAGGUGUUGCACAGAAUGGUAUCAAGGAUAUGAUGGAGGCCCGUGUUAUCACGGUUCUGAAAGGCCACCCCCACCAGCACCACCGGCACCAGCACCACCGCCACCAGCACCACAGCCACCAGCACCACCCCCACCAGCACAGACAACAACACCAAAAGAUAAGGCAACAUACCCACCACUGGUGAGGACGUGUUGUUCAGACUGUUAUCAAGGAUUUGGUAGAGGCCCAUGUUAUCGCCGAAAUGGAAGGCCAACGCCAUGUUAUGAGGCUUAUGGAAGGCCUGUGUACGAUAGUUGCGGCAGCAGCGACAGUGAUGGCGGUAACUUCAAUAAUUGCCGAAGGGGAUGUAACGUCGGGAGAUUUGAUUGUCUUAGUGAAGAAAAUCCAUCGGCAUGCAGUCUCAUGUAGCUCUUGGGUGUCAAUUUAGCAUACAUUCAAGGUUCAUGGCAUGAAAACUCAAUUUCGCAAAGCUUCGACCUCUGGCUUCGAAAGUCAUUGUGAAGUAAUUAGAGCGGCACUUGGAAUCUCCUUGGCUGAUUUCAAAAAAGGCAAGGAGAUUUUUAGUCGAUUUCACCAUACUUAGUGAAAUAGGAAAUCAACAAUUUGUAUCCCUAUUUAGUAUAAUAUAAAUGUUGGGAUUUGUAUACCUUCCUAAUUAAAAAACAUAGUUAUAGGAGAAUUCUUUAUAUGUGUAUAUAUGUAUGUAACACCUCUCACUCGUCUAUAGUGUAGUCGAGCAAGGUGCGCUACAUUUGGUGCCGGAGCACCCUAU
rnacentral:misc_RNA from 1 species